rnacentral:rRNA from 1 species
UGAGUACGAGAUGCUACGGCAUCGAAGCAGUCUAUGUCAUACUUCCAAGAAAAGCUUGCACUGUCAUAAACAAAGAAUGCCUGUACCAUAACCGACACAGGUGGGUAGGUAGAGUAUACUAAGGGGCGCGAGAUAACUCUCUCUAAGGAACUCGGCAAAAUGACUCCGUAACUUCGGGAGAAGGAGUGCCUUAUUUAUAAGGUUGCAAUAACAAGAUCCAAGCAACUGUUUAUCAAAAACACAGGUCUCCGCUAAGUCGUAAGACGAUGUAUGGGGGCUGACGCCUGCCCAGUGCCAGAAGGUUAAAGAAGUUGGUUAGUGUAUGCGAAGCUGAUGACUGAAGCCCUGGUGAACGGCGGCCGUAACAAUAACGGUCCUAAGGUAGCGAAAUUCCUUGUCGGGUAAGUUCCGACCCGCACGAAAGGCGUAAUGAUUUGGAUACUGUCUCGGAGAGAGGCUCGGUGAAAUAGACUUGUCUGUGAAGAUGCGGACUACCUGCACCAGGACAGAAAGACCCUAUGAAGCUUUACUGUAACUUGAAAUUGGAAUUGGACUUUGCUUGCGCAGUAUAGGUGGGAAGCGUUGAAGAUAUUCUUGCGGGAGUAUUGGAGCUAUCAGUGAGAUACCACUCUUGUAAUGUUAGAUUUCUAACUUUGAACCAUAAUCUGGUCAAAGAACAGUUUCAGGUGGCAGUUUGACUGGGGCGGUCGCCUCCCAAAUGGUAACGGAGGCGUACAAAGGUUUCCUCUGAACGGAUAGAAAUCGUAUCUAGAGUGUAAAGGCAUAAGGAAGCUUGACUGUGAGACCUACAAGUCGAGCAGGGACGAAAGUCGGUCUUAGUGAUCUGACGGUACUGAGUGGAAAGGCCGUCACUCAACGGAUAAAAGUUACUCUAGGAUAACAGGCUGAUCUCCCCCAAGAGUUCACAUCGACGGGGAGGUUUGGCACCUCGAUGUCGGCUCAUCGCAUCCUGGGGCGGUAGUACGUCCCAAGGGUUGGGCUGUUCGCCCAUGAAAGCGGUACGCGAGCUGGGUUCAGAACGUCGUGAGACAGUUCGGUCCAUAUCCGGUGUAGGCGUUAGAAUAUUGAGAGGAGCCUUCUUUAGUACGAGAGGACCGAGAAGGACACACCGCUGGUGUACCAGUUAUCGUGCCAACGGUAAACGCUGGGUAGCUAUGUGUGGAGUGGAUAACCGCUGAAAGCAUCUAAGUGGGAAGCCCACCUCAAGAUGAG